CGGAGGUACAGUACCUCGGACACAGAGUAGGGUGCGGGAAACAGAAGCCCGAACCCGCCAAGGUAGAGGCAGUAGCCCAAUGGCCCACCCCCAGGACAAAAACCCAGGUCCUUGCCUUUCUAGGGACCGCCGGAUAUUACCGAAAGUUUGUCCCCAACUAUAGCGCCCUGGCCAAACCCCUUACUGACCUUACCCGCAAGAACCUACCCCGCCAAGUAACCUGGAGCCCG